UGGGGAAUAUUGCACAAUGGGGGAAAACCCGUGAUGCAGCAACGCCGCGUGAGUGAAGAAGUAUUUCGGUAUGUAAAGCUCUAUCAGCAGGGAAGAAGAUGACGGUACCUGACCAAGAAGCCCCGGCUAACUACGUGCC
rnacentral:rRNA from 1 species